AAGGAUGGAGAGUGAGAGUGUAUCAUAGUUUCUAUCCACUUUCCUUUUCAUUUUCGGAGAGAGAGAAAGAGAGGCAGAGAAGAAAAGAAGAAAGGAGAAAAAGAGAAAGGGGAAGAAAAGAGGAGCUAGGGUUUGGAGGAGACAUUGAAGAUGUAAGGGGGAAAAUCCCUAUUAUUAUGGGUUCUGGAGUUUAGUAGCUCGUGCGUGAUCUAGCCGGAGAUUAUUCCGUGUUUGUUGGAGAUUAGGUAGUGAGUCGAUGCUCUGGUCAUGUAACACUGGGUAGAUUAGUCGUGUUGAACUCAUGUUUCUAUUUGGUUAUGUAUUAUGUUUAUGACUUGUGAAUCUGUUUAUUUGGCUAUUUGUUGUUUGAGAGGCCUUAAGCCAAAUAUUAUGAAUAUUAUGAUUAUGGUUUAUUAUAUGUUGAGAUGCUUAUUGAGAUAUGAUCGUGGUAUGAGACAUGAAUCAUUUUAUGAAAUA